CCCAAAUUCCCCUCCGCCUAGCCUGACCACUCCGCCCGCUCUUCCUCUCCGUUUUCCCAAGUCCUCGGCGCCGCCGCCCGCCGUCCCCACCAAGCACCACCCGUCCGCCACCGCCACCACCUCCCUCUCCCUCUCCACCCGCGCGCGCGACGCCUCCCCCAGCGCCCCGUCCCCCUCGCUGUCUCCUCCGGCGGACGGGGUCGGCCCCACGGUGCCGAUGCGGGGCGACGUGUACCUGGGACGGCAGCUCGCGGCCGCGGCCGCGGCGGGCGCCCGCACGCGCACGCCGGAGGAGGACGCCGAGAGGCGCCGCCGCCGCAAGGAGAAGCGGAGGGCCCUGGCCAAGAAGAUGCCCUCCGGGGUCGCCUGCUGCUAUGGCUGCGGUGCCCCGCUGCAUACCGGCGAGGAGGGGUCCCCCGGCCACGUCGAGCCCGCCACCUACGACCUGAAGAAGAGGCACAACCAACUGAAGACCGUGCUAUGCAGGCGGUGCAAGCUGCUGUCGCACGGAAGGUGUUUGACAAAAUGACCAAGUAAGAGUAGCCCCUCCUCUAUUUUUGCAACGCUACCAUCGGGUCUUCACUUAUCCCAUCUGGGCCAUCCACUAACUGAACUUAACUCAGCCACGAUGUGCUUCCGUUCUUCAGAGUACCACCUUUCUUCAGUGAAGCUUUGGCUGUGGUCUCUCUUGACAUCAGGUAACCCAUGUUCAUAACGUAAUUGAGGUACUUCCAUCUUUGAUGUUAAUGCUAUACAUAUUGCUACUCAUUUCUAAUUUCUUUACCUGCUUGAGUGAUCAGAUCAUUAUAGUUCAAAGCAUUGCUUUUGUUUCUUGGAUUUGUAAUACAAGAGCCUGCAGUGAACACGUGCAGGUGUGGCAUGUAUGAGACGAUGGGUUCAUCCAUCAGAAGCAAGGUUGACACGAAAAUCCUCCAAAUCCAGUCCACCAACGGAGGCAAUGAAUCAUCAUUGUGGCCGCGUCGUGUACAAAGGGUCAAGGCUACCCAUGUGUCCAUGACAUGUAAUUAGCAGUUUUACAUUGGAUGUUGCUAAGCAUAUGGAGAUGCAUUUGCCUUCAGCGGUGUGAAAUCUUGGAUUCAUAAAUGGGAGAAGCACAUAAGGGAGAAGAAGAUGAUUGCAAGGAUGGAGAGGGAGCAAAUCAUUUGGAGGGAUAGAAUGCCACUGUUUGGUGUUUUUAUGCAUUUUUGUUUGCUUUCAUUUGUGUUUGCACUAGCUGGGAAUAAGUGACUAGGCAAUAAGUGUAGAUGUAUGGAUAUGCUCUAAUGCUCCUGGUUUACUAUGAAUCUUCGAUUUGUAAUGAUGUGUAAUGCUACUGGUUUAUUACAAAUCUGGGCUUGUUUUAGUUGUUUGAA